UACGGAGGGUGCAAGCGUUGUCCGGAAUCACUGGGCGUAAAGGGCGCGUAGGCGGCUCAUGAAGGCUGUGGUGAAAGUCCGGGGCUCAACCUCGGAUCGGCCGUGGCGACUCGUGGGCUGGAGCACUGUAGAGGCGGGUGGAAUUCCGGGUGUAGCGGUGGAAUGCGUAGAUAUCGGGAGGAACACCAGUGGCGAAGGCGGUUGCCUGGAGCUUUGCUGACGCUGAGGCGCGAAAGCGUGGGGAGCGAUCCGG
rnacentral:rRNA from 1 species